UUUUAUCCUUCACCAUACAGUAUUGCUACAAACCGAAUGAUCACUCAAACUUCUAUUACACCCUAUAUUGCAUCUCCUGUAUCUGCCUACCAGGUUUGUACCUUUAGGAUUCGUCAGCAGUAUAACCACUUGCGGACCAUGAAUCUCUGCUACAUUUUUAUGUGUCUUAAAAUUUUGAGCGUUUAUGAAAUUUGAGUCAAAUAUUAUGCAGCUUGGAUACCCAAUUUAGUAUGAGCUGCUUUGUAUUUGGCAGAGCAAUUUAUGUAUAGGAGAAUGUAAAGCAAAGGAAAAUGUUUGUCAGUGGUCAGUCCUUGGAAUCAUAGCAUUUUGGAUUGGAAUGAACCCAAACACUUCCUUCACCAAGGGGCCCUGCUUUUGGACACCAUGUGUCCCAAAAAUUGAAACUUAAGAUAAUUGCCGUUAGAUAUAAUACAGAAUAGGUGUGUACCCUUGCUUUUGUUUAUUCUUCAGCAGGAACUGAUAAAAGAACAAGUAUAAACAUGGUAAUACAUAAAGAUGUGUCUCUAGUAGGUAGCAUUAAGUGAGCAAUGCAGCUGACAUUUGAGGUAAAAAUAUAAAAGCAAAAAGGUGACUUCCUGUUUAGGUUAAGUGAGGAGGCUUUACCUUAAAAUAAAUUCCCAACUUAGCAACAAAAACUCUUGAAAUGUCUUGUAUUUCAAGAUUUGAUUUGAUUUUAAUGCAAAGGUAGCUCCUGUCCGCCAUGAACCCAGUAGUGUACAUGCAUUUCUCCUCCUGUGUCAGAAAACCUCUAACAGGAUUACUUCCUGGACCCAGAUAGGAACCUUAUAAUGGAGUUCAGUUGCAGACAUGUGGGAGCAGAGUUCCCUUUUGUUGACCAUCAGGAUCCUGUGUGACUAAAUUUUUGUGUAUUCUUGAUUUUAAAACAAUUGAAUUAGAUGUUGUAGUCCUAAUUUCUGGGGUUAGAGGACUACAAUAUGUAAUCUAAUAGUUGUGUUAUUUUAACUUCUAUAAGCCUCAGUUUCCUCAUCUUUAAAAUGGGGAUAAUAAUAGUUUCUAUCUCAUAGGCUUGAGAGAAUUAUGAAAACCAAAUGAGACUGUAUAAAGAGCCCAGCCAAGGACCUCACAUAUCAUUAUCACUCAGUUAAUGUUAGCUAUGAUUAUUAUCAUUAAUAUGCAUGAUUAGGUGGCUGAUAAUAAGAGUAUAUUAGUUAUACGUUUAAAUAAUGAAUUGGCCAACAUAAGCAAUGUCAUAUAACUAAUUCUGCCUAAAAACAUAAAAAUGGUUUUGAAUAACAGAAGUGAUUAGAUACGCUAAAACUGAGGAUUGGCAUUAUCAUUCACAGUCUCCUAUGCUUCUAGGCUCUUACAGCCUCCUUUCCCUGAGUUGUCACUCGUUUUCUUUUCUUUUUUCUCUCUGGGUUCUUAUGUUACUUAUUCUGGUGCUUCAUUCUGCUGGGCGUAGUAUUGACUAAUUUAAUGCCUCUUUAGUUGUUUUGGAUUUAGGAUUCCUAUCCUUUCUUUGACUGUAUAAGACUCAGUGAGAUCUGCUCUAGUGCACUUCCCUAAUUAACAAUUCAUGUGUCUGCUAUGAAAAGGUAGUCUUUCUUAACUGUCUGAACUUGGAAACCUCUGUCAUUUAUAUGUCACUGAAAAUAGGGGCAAGUGUAAGUUAUUCUCAGGCAAAUGAAAGGUUGUAAGUAUUAAUUUGAAUUUAUGUUGCUAUAGAUAUUACAGCUAUUAACACAUUUCUCCAACACCUCUUUUUCCCUCUUAUAAUAUAAAACCAGUGUGCAUUUGGCCACAGAACCAUUUUGUACAAUAAAAAUUAGGAGAUCUGUGUCAGUAAUAGAUUUGAUAUAGCUAACUAGAAAUAACAUAUUAUUUCAGAGGCCUUAUUUCCUCUCCUGGGCAUUCUGUAUUUCUCUAAGAUACAUAUGGAAUUUCAUUGCAUUGCCUGACACUCGGUGCCAUAGCCUCAAAGACUGAUUUUUAACUACAUAAGUUCAGGGACCUAGUAGGGUCAGUGGAUGAGCUUUAAGUGAUCUGUGACUCCUUAAGUUGUUUGCAAAAUGUUGCUUGUGUGUGUGCAAUUAAGUGGGGAAAAAUGUUCUAUUUCCCUAAUUAGGUUUUCAGAGGGCUCCAUGACCCUAAAGAGGUUAAGAACCAAUAGUAAAGAGUUUACAAAACAUUAUUAUUCCCAUUUUAUAAUUAGAAAAUUGAGGAAUAGAAAUUGACAGCAGCUGAUUUGCUGCUUAAGAAAGAAAAUUAGAUGUCAUAGUUCCCUAAUCCUGUAAUGCUAUAAGCUAUUAGAUUAUUAAGACCACUGAAGCAUAUAAAAAAUGGGGGCAUCUGGCCCAAAUUAGGGUCUGUAGGGAGUUGUUUGCCUUCCCAUCAUAUAUCCAGUGAGGGCCCUGCACUCAUGUUGGAGUGGGCCUUUCUCCACUAAACCACCAUAAGCUUAUGCAAUUGGAUUUGAGAAAUUGGCAGCUGCAAGAAACCACCAACCCCAAUGGGGAAAGGCUACAGUCCAGAUAACUGAAAUGUUAACAAGGCAGAAGCACUUAACUUUGGUCUGCCUUAGGUGGCAAAGGAAACCAGAGAAAACAAGUAUCGGGGCUCUGCUAUCAAGGUAAAUCGCAAUACAUUCUUCCCCCAUGACUCUUCCCCAUAUCCUCUCUGUUGAACCUCUGAAGUUAACAAUAGGGGAUAAAAUGCAGGAGGGUUUUGUUGUUAAGAAUUGGAAACUGAAACUUAAUAAAAUUACUUAGACUCUGGAAAGCUCUGGGCAUCAAGAAAUGGGCUGAUAUGUUUUUCUCUUGAGUGGCAGACUACACAUGCUUUCUUUCCUGCCACAAAACCUGACUCUCACAUCUAUUUCUCAAUUCAGAGGGUCUACUGUGUGGAUGCCCAUUUGACUGUAGAUGUCAAAAUCUAGUUACUGAAGUUUAAUUUCCUUAAUCUGAAUUUCAGAUUUUUAUUUUCUGCACUAAGUAGAAAUUGUUGACCACAAUACAAGAUUUCUAAAAUUAAUGUCCUAGAUAUGAAAGAGAAAUUGAAUUUGGUUUUUUGUAUUAAAUAAGCACAUACUUUAAGGGUUAGCUUCUAAUAAGAUGUGCUGGAAUUAAUCGUCAUUCAUCUGUAAUUCUAAAGCACCUAGUUCAUACCUUGAUUGUUAACACUUUUCACUAUUUGAGUUGUUGCUGUGUUUAUCUCCCUUGCAUAGAUAGUAAAUUUCUUGAGGGUGGGGCCCAGUCUGUUUCGCCUUUUUCUCUUUGUUGCCUGAUACUCAACAAUUACUUCUUGAGUGGGCAAAUAGAAAUUGUUUCUAAAUAAUCAUUUCAUCCUGUUCAGAGUGACCAGUUUGCCAAGAAUUCUAACUGCCUUAAUCUUUUUAAUCAUUGAUAGUAUUGUUUCCUUGUUUUCUUUCUGUAGAUUUUUAACAUGAUUAAAAAGAGUUCUAAAGAAAUAGGUAAGCUUUACAAUGAAAAUCAAUAUUUCUUUCAAAAUCCUCCCUUUUCUAGGUGCAAAGUCCUUCGUGGAUGCAACCUCAACCAUAUAUUCUACAGCACCCUGGUGCCGUGUUAACUCCCUCAAUGGAGCACACCAUGUCACUACAGCCCGCAUCAAUGAUCAGCCCUCUGGCCCAGCAGAUGAGUCAUCUGUCACUAGGCAGCACCGGAACAUACAUGCCUGCAACGUCAGCUAUGCAAGGAGCCUACUUGCCACAGUAUGCACAUAUGCAGACGACAGCGGUUCCUGUUGAGGAGGCAAGUGGUCAACAGCAGGUGGCUGUCGAGACGUCUAAUGACCAUUCUCCAUAUACCUUUCAACCUAAUAAGUAACUGUGAGAUGUACAGAAAGGUGUUCUUACAUGAAGAAGGGUGUGAAGGCUGAACAAUCAUGGAUUUUUCUGAUCAAUUGUGCUUUAGGAAAUUAUUGACAGUUUUGCACAGGUUCUUGAAAACGUUAUUUAUAAUGAAAUCAACUAAAACUAUUUUUGCUAUAAGUUCUAUAAGGUGCAUAAAACCCUUAAAUUCAUCUAGUAGCUGUUCCCCCGAACAGGUUUAUUUUAGUAAAAAAAAAAAAACAAAAAACA
rnacentral:lncRNA from 1 species